rnacentral:rRNA from 1 species
CCGAUUCGGGGAGGUAGUGACAAUAAAUAACAAUACAGGGCCAACGGUCUUGUUAUUGGAAUGAGAACAAUUUAAAUAACUUAACGAGGAUCAAUUAGAGGGCAAGUCUGGUGCCAGCAGCCGCGGUAAUUCCAGCUCUAAUAGCGUAUAUUAAAGUUGUUGCAGUUAAAAAGCUCGUAGUCGGAUGUCGGGCUCGGGCAAGCUGUCGGCCUUUGGUCGGACGGCAGGCUCGGGUCUUUCUGCCUGAGGAACCCGGUUGCUUUAACGAGCUGCCGGUGGACGCAGGUCGUUUACUUUGAAAAAAUUAGAGUGUUCAAAGCAGGCUAGCGCUUGAAUACAUUAGCAUGGAAUAAUGGAAUAGGACUUUGGUGCUAUUUUGUUGGUUUAUGGGACCGAAGUAAUGAUUAACAGGGACAGUUGGGGCCGUUUAUAUUUCGUUGUCAGAGGUGAAAUUCUUGGAUUUACGAAAGAUAAACUUCUGCGAAAGCAUUCGGCAAGGAUGUUUUCAUUGAUCAA